UACACUCCUACGGGAGGCAGCAGUGGGGAAUUUUGGACAAUGGGCGAAAGCCUGAUCCAGCAAUGCCGCGUGUGUGAAGAAGGCCUUCGGGUUGUAAAGCACUUUUGUCCGGAAAGAAAUCCUUGGCUCUAAUACAGUCGGGGGAUGACGGUACCGGAAGAAUAAGCACCGGCUAACUACGUGCCAGCAGCCGCGGUAAUACGUAGGGUGCGAGCGUUAAUCGGAAUUACUGGGCGUAAAGCGUGCGCAGGCGGUUUGCUAAGACCGAUGUGAAAUCCCCGGGCUCAACCUGGGAACUGCAUUGGUGACUGGCAGGCUAGAGUAUGGCAGAGGGGGGUAGAAUUCCACGUGUAGCAGUGAAAUGCGUAGAGAUGUGGAGGAAUACCGAUGGCGAAGGCAGCCCCCUGGGCCAAUACUGACGCUCAUGCACGAAAGCGUGGGGAGCAAACAGGAUUAGAUACCCGUGUAGUCCCAUG
rnacentral:rRNA from 1 species